ACAGAGAAAGGUUUGCAGAGAGGUCAGAAUGUGGAAGGGUCUUGAAAUUCUUUACUAGAAGGAAAACUGAGCAGAAAACACACACAGGGGCACACACACACACAUGCACACCCACACACACAGAGGCACCCAUCAGUGUGGGCAAAAUGAGCUUCAGGGCCUAGAAUCUGAAAGUGCUCUGGUUACAGGUACAGGGUGAAAUGUACUUACUACACACGGAACAACAAAAAUCUGUGUACUUGCAUUUGCUCUUCCAAAUGCAAGUAUUUUCAAAUAUGCUUAGGAAGAAAGUUACUGGGGAAGUCUCUUGUGAUCUCUUUGAGGGACCCACUACCACCAUGAGUUGUCUUCCUCAUGGAAGGGAGCCUCUCAGAGUUAGCUUCUCCAGGCCCACACUGUCCCUUUGUGAUGUGAGCUACCUGGAGGAAAAGAGUUUGGGUUUUGUCCAACUGAACACCAAGAACAGAGUGUCUCAGAACCAGAGGUGAUCCACAACUUCAUCGUCAUUCACAACCCAUUGCACAACCUCAGCUGAGCUCAUUCUGUACUGCCUGGGAUUAUCCUCCUUCGGUGACUCAGCUUCUUUGCCAAUCAGCAGCUUCAGCUUUCACACUAUGCAACUUUGUGCAAACAUUUUCCUGACACAUCCUGGAUAAGUAGCAGGGCGAUGUAACAUGUGCUACACAGGCAUUCCAUUCCCUGGCGUCCAUCAACAGCCCUUCCACAGUCUGCAUGGAUGCCCCUUGUAGUUAUGCUAGAAACAAAUUCUUGUUGGUUUUUUAAACAGUGCCUGAUGUUCUUCAAAACCACAUCCAGCCCUCCAGUCCUUGGGGUACUUGCAGGUCAUGGACAGGAAAGAGCUGUGGGAUAAAAUAAAGAACUGUGUCACUAAGAUCUCAAUGGUUUUGCAAGGGGAACUUCCUCUGAAAGAGGUACUCAUGAGACACAAAGUCAUGCUUCUCCUUACCAGACACAGAGAAUGAGAGUGUAGUGAUGUGAAGGAUGGUUCUGUAGUAGUUUGGUGCAUAAGCGUGACAUCAUUGGCUCUUCAACCCACUGACCUGAGGAUGUCUAAAUGGAAAGUGGCCUUAUCUAGGAUCCAUAGUUCCUGGGACCUAAGAAACAUGUGGAUUAUAGGUGCAAGUACUUUGGAGGAUUCUCAGAAAUAUUUGGGAAGGUCACCCUUCCUCUCUGGGUUGGAGUAUUUCUAACUAAAGAGCAAUGGAGAGUCCUCGGAACAGUUUUUUAAAUUGAUAUGAUGGCUGUUGCACUCUCAGGAGGCUGGUGAUGCCUAGAACACCUGGGUUCCAGGAAAAAUUGUCUCCUAACAGCAAGAAAAGACUCAAGAGUGGAAUGUCUUUGGUGAAAGUGAGCCCUUGAGUGAUUCAAGGCCAGGCACACCUAGUAGGCUGGAAUUACUGAGAAGAUUUGGGUAUUGUUUUUCAGGCAGAUCAUAUGACUCUUGAAGUCCCUCUUCAUCCUGAAAUUUGAAGGUCUGUACUUCAAGAUCCAAGCCUAAGAAGCCCCUAUUUGGAACAAAGCAUUCUUGUGGGAAAGGAUAUACAAGAGGCAGUAUGUAAACGCAAAACCAUCUUUAAAUAUUCUCCUCAGAACUGGGGGUGCUAGAUGGCAGAAGUAGAGAUCCCUGAAUCACCCUCUGUAGAAGAGUGGCACAGGAGAGUCACUUGACCCAAUUGGGACCGACACUAGACUGUGAGAUAACAAACCUGGUUUGUGUUAAGGCCUUGAAAUUUUAGGAUUUGUUUGUUUCUUCAUUACUGGCCAACAUUCAUCUAAGGAAGAGGAUACAGAAUAUCUCCAGGGUUGUUGCAAAGAUUAAUUGAGAUAAUUUAGAUAAAGCACAGAGCACUGUCUUCCAUAAUAUGGACUCAAUAUAUGACAACGAUUACAGUUUAAGAUUGAUUACAUUCAUCUAGAGAUUAAGAAUAAGGUCUUCAGAAUCAAUGGAUAUAGUUCAUGUCUCAGAUAUGCUACUAUGUAUGUUAAGAAGAUUAUUUAAUAUCUUUACACUUUAAUUUCUUUAUGAAAUGGCAUCCGAUCCACAAGGUAAUGUAUGGGGUAGUGGUGGCAGUAAUGGUAGCUGAUAAUCUUCUGCCUGAUCCCUCAUUAGAGCUGCAGAACUGGUCAUUAGGGAAAAGAACCAAAUAGAUAAGCUUAUGUGGAGAUCCAACUGUGGUUUUGAUCAGAUUGAUGGAACUAACCAGUCACAGCCCAGCUACUAAUAGAGUGGUCUCCAACCACAAAGGCAGUGAUCAGAUGAUGGCCAAUUAUCUGAGUAUCAGCAGUGAUUCUGCCGCUGGAGACAAGCAAAAAAGACAAGCAAGAGUUCAGGAUUUGGAAAAACAAUGUAUACGAUUUUGCCUUUAUGUUGCGUUUGUAUUUCUCUUUAAGCAAUUUUAGAGCGAUAAUAGAUGCAGCAUUAAAAAUUAAUUUUGCUUUUUCCCAAUCAUAAUAGUAGUAGAGUUUUUUAUAGAAAGUUAGAAGUACAGAAAUUUGGACAGAAAGAAAAACAUACAUUGUUCUAAUCCAACAAACAACUAAUAAUUUUUCUGUAUUUAUAUUCACUCUUUUUUUCUAUAUAUGUUUUAUUUGUUUAUUUAACAUAAUUGGAUUUUCUAAUGUUAUAUUUAAAUUACUUCAUAAAUAUUAUUUUCAAGGACUGUAAAUUAUUUAAUUAUGUGAAUGUACCAUAGUUUACUUAUUUAUUUCUUUCAUGACAUUAGCUUUUUUGCUGUUGUAAAUAAUGACCCUGUUAACUUCUCUGUUACAUAUUUUUACAUCCUUUGAUUUAUUUUGUUGGGACAAAUCCACAGAAUUGGAAUUACUAGGACAAAUAGAAAAGAUGUUUAUAAGAAAUAGUAUACUACAUUGCCAAAUUGCUAUCCCCAGCAAUACCUGAAAAUGAUGGUUCCACAUGGCCUAUUAUGGGAUUUAUCUUUGUAUAUUGCUAAUUUAAAAAACC
rnacentral:lncRNA from 10 species